rnacentral:rRNA from 1 species
UACGUAGGGUGCGAGCGUUAAUCGGAAUUACUGGGCGUAAAGGGUGCGCAGGCGGUCCUGCAGGUCAGGCGUGAAAUCCCCGGGCUUAACCUGGGAAUGGCACUUGAAACUACGGGACUGGAGUAUGGCAGAGGGAGGUGGAAUUCCACGUGUAGCGGUGAAAUGCGUAGAGAUGUGGAGGAACACCGAUGGCGAAGGCAGCCUCCUGGGCCAAUACUGACGCUCAUGCACGAAAGCGUGGGGAGCAAACAGG